rnacentral:rRNA from 1 species
GGGUAGUCCCAGCUGUAAACUAUGCAAACUCAGUGAUGCAUUGACUUGUGGUCAAUGCAGUGCUGCAGGGAAGCCGUUAAGUUUGCCGCCUGGGAAGUACGUACGCAAGUAUGAAACUUAAAGGAAUUGGCGGGGGAGCACCACAAGGGGUGAAGCCUGCGGUUCAAUUGGAGCCAACGCCAGAAAUCUUACCCGGAGAGACAGCAGAAUGAAGGUCAAGCUGAAGACUUUACCAGACAAGCUGAGAGGUGGUGCAUGGCCGUCGCCAGCUCGUGCCGUGAGAUGUCCUGUUAAGUCAGGUAACGAGCGAGAUCCCUGCCUCUAGUUGCCACCAUUACUCUCAGGAGUAGUGGGGCGAAUUAGCGGGACCGCCGCAGUUAAUGCGGAGGAAGGAAGGGGCCACGGGCAGGUCAGUAUGCCCCGAAACUCUGGGGGCCACACGCGGGGCUGCAAUGGGUAACGACAAUGGGUUUCGAAUCCGAAAGGAUGAGGUAAUCCAGAAACGUUACC